rnacentral:miRNA from 1 species
GGAAGGAAGGAGGUGGGGGACAGGGGCCGGGAGUGGUGAGAAGUCCAGAAUCUACUGAAAUAGUCAAAUAACAUGAGAAGUGCCUACUGGUGUGUUCUCUCUCUCUCUCUUUCUCCCCUCACCCCCUGUCUCUUUUUUCCUUUCUCUCU